UUUAUACUCCCUCCGUCCGAAAAUACUUUCAUUAAAAUGAAUAAAAGGGGAUGUAUCUAGAUGUAUUUUAGUUCUAUAUACAUUCUUUUUUGUCUAUUUUGAUGACAAGUAUUUUCGGACAGAAGGAAUAGAAC
rnacentral:pre_miRNA from 1 species